rnacentral:rRNA from 1 species
ACUCAAAUGAAUUGACGGGGGCCCGCACAAGCGGUGGAGCAUGUUGUUUAAUACGUCACUAACCGUAGAACCUUACCAGGGCUUGACAUCCUCUGCACCGGGGUGAAAGCCUCGUCCUCGCAAGAGGCGGAGAGACAGGUGUUGCAUGGCUGUCGUCAGCUCGUGUCGUGAGAUGUUGGGUUAAGUCCCGCAACGAGCGCAACCCUCAUCCCAUGUUGCCAGCAUAUCAGGGUGGGCACUCUUGGGAAACUGCCGGGGUAACUCGGAGGAAGGUGAGGAUGACGUCAAGUCAGCAUGGCCCUUACGCCCUGGGCUACAAACAUGCUACAAUGGACGGUAGACAGAGGGAUCCGAGACCGCGAGGGGGAGGCAAUCUCAAAAAUCCGUUCUCAGUUCGGAUCGCAGGCUGCAACUCGCCUGCGUGAAGUCGGAAUCGCUAGUAACCGCAGAUCAGCCAAGCUGCGGUGAAUACGUUCCCGGGCCUUGCACACACCGCCCGU